rnacentral:rRNA from 1 species
UGCAGUCGAGCGGACCGGGCGGGAGCUUGCUUCCGCUUGGUUAGCGGCGGACGGGUGAGUAACACGUGGGUAACCUGCCCGUAAGACCGGGAUAACUCCGGGAAACCGGGGCUAAUACCGGAUAACACCGAAGACCGCAUGGUCUUCGGUUGAAAGGCGGCUUCGGCUGCCACUUACGGAUGGGCCCGCGGCGCAUUAGCUAGUUGGUGAGGUAACGGCUCACCAAGGCGACGAUGCGUAGCCGGCCUGAGAGGGUGACCGGCCACACUGGGACUGAGACACGGCCCAGACUCCUACGGGAGGCAGCAGUAGGGAAUCUUCCGCAAUGGACGAAAGUCUGACGGAGCGACGCCGCGUGAGCGAAGAAGGUCUUCGGAUCGUAAAGCUCUGUUGUUAGGGAAGAAGAAGUGCCGUUCGAACAGGGCGGCACGGUGACGGUACCUAACGAGAAAGCCCCGGCUAACUACGUGCCAGCAGCCGCGGUAAUACGUAGGGGGCGAGCGUUGUCCGGAAUUAUUGGGCGUAAAGCGCGCGCAGGCGGUCCCUUAAGUCUGAUGUGAAAGCCCACGGCUUAACCGUGGAGGGUCAUUGGAAACUGGGGGACUUGAGUGCAGAAGAGGAGAGCGGAAUUCCACGU